GAGAAUGGAGAAAGCCGGGAGGAGAAGCCGGAACCAAGGCGGAGAGCAGGGGUGCGCAUGCGUAGGGAGGGCACGCGUGUCCCCGCCCCCUUCCCCAGAGGGGCGGAACGGAGGCCUUAAGUGACGUUAGUCAUUGUGCUAGAGGUAACUAGGGACCGCGGCGAAGGGGCGGGCUCGAGCUGACGAACAGGAUACGUCGAAGCUGCAGCACUCCACAGACAGAAUUCAAGGCCAGCCUGAUGUAUGUAACAAGUUCCAGGCCAGCAAGAGUUACAUGAUGAGACCCUACCCAGUGAUUGUAAGAAUUCCAAAAUUCAGGAUAACAAUGCUGGUCUCAGCAUGUAGCCCUGCCUGGAAAUCCUGCCUCAGAGUCUCAAGUGCUGGGUGACAGGUUUGAGUCACCGUAAGUGCUGAUGUAUCUAUCCCCAGAAACAAAAAGGAGGCCCCGUCCCAUAGCUAAUAUCCGCAGAGAUGUCUGCACCUCACUUUGGCAAACACAGCCACUCCAACCCAGCAAUGCCACUUCCAGGAAUUGAUCCUCACAAACAGAGUAGCUCUGACAUAGGAGUUAUUUAUUGCAGUGUGGUUUGUGAUAUUAAUGUAGAAAUACAUUCCAUCAAUAAAGAUCUUUCAGUUAACAUUAGUCACC
ensembl:antisense Gm14966 predicted gene 14966